AACGAGCGCUGGCGGCAGGCCUAACACAUGCAAGUCGAGCGAAGCCUUCGGGCUUAGCGGCGGACGGGUGAGUAACGCGUGGGAACGUGCCCUUUGGUACGGAAUAGCCCCGGGAAACUGGGAGUAAUACCGUAUGUGGUCGAGAGACGAAAGAUUUAUCGCCAAAGGAUCGGCCCGCGUUGGAUUAGGUAGUUGGUGGGGUAAUGGCCUACCAAGCCGACGAUCCAUAGCUGGUUUGAGAGGAUGAUCAGCCACACUGGGACUGAGACACGGCCCAGACUCCUACGGGAGGCAGCAGUGGGGAAUCUUAGACAAUGGGGGAAACCCUGAUCUAGCCACGCCGCGUGAUCGAUGAAGGCCUUAGGGUUGUAAAGAUCUUUCAGUGGGGAAGAUAAUGACUGUACCCACAGAAGAAGCCCCGGCUAACUCCGUGCCAGCCGCCGCAGUAAAAC
rnacentral:rRNA from 1 species